AACGACACGAUCACCUAUAAUGCUAAACGUGCUGCAAAUCUUGUUACUACGUUUCGUGUUCCAUGGAACUAAGCUCUCCAAUACCGAAUAGUAGCGAAAACUCCACAAUUGCGAAUUCAGCUCGCUGCGAACAGUAAACGAAAAAAUUUUUGGAAUAAAUUUCACUCGUUUGCCAGCGCAUUUCUCGGUGCCGCUUUCCGUAAUAUGCGCGCAUUUGUGUCGUCGGAAUCCCCACAUUCCCCACAGUCAUGAGCGGGAGAACCAUACUCCACCUUUUGAACGAGACGAAGACGAAACAAAUUGAGCGUAACUAACCUUGAUUGUCUUAACCAGUGGUUUAAAGCGUGUUGUUCGCAAACUCUUGCCACUAGUUAAACAUUUGUUCCAUUCACUACACGCGCAAAACAGGAUACAGGCUUCCAAGUGUGUUUUUUUAUAUACACGGACUUUUUGAUAGUUGUAUUUUUGACGUGAAAACUUUUUACCGACUUGAUGUCUCAGUUAGUGCCCUAUUUCAACUUCGAUCUGGACGAUAGUGAUUGUUUUGACGGUACCAUGUAUUCGGAGAAUUUUUUUGGAAAAUCUGGAGGACGAAUGGUAAAUACUUUUCUACAACUAAGAGAAGAAAACCACUACUCAUAUGAUACAGGCGCAAAUGUAAGCAUAUACUUUAAGACACACCUAACAAAUUAUAGUGUUAUUUAAUAAUCUGAUAUAUAAAUAUUCUGUAAUAUAUACAUAUAUAUAA